AGAGUUUGAUCCUGGCUCAGGAUGAACGCUAGCUACAGGCUUAACACAUGCAAGUCGAGGGGAAACGACAUCGAAAGCUUGCUUUUGAUGGGCGUCGACCGGCGCACGGGUGAGUAACGCGUAUCCAACCUGCCCACCACUUGGGGAUAACCUUGCGAAAGUAAGACUAAUACCCAAUGACGUCUCUAGAAGACAUCUGAAAGAGAUUAAAGAUUUAUCGGUGAUGGAUGGGGAUGCGUCUGAUUAGCUUGUUGGCGGGGUAACGGCCCACCAAGGCAACGAUCAGUAGGGGUUCUGAGAGGAAGGUCCCCCACAUUGGAACUGAGACACGGUCCAAACUCCUACGGGAGGCAGCAGUGAGGAAUAUUGGUCAAUGGACGAGAGUCUGAACCAGCCAAGUAGCGUGCAGGAUGACGGCCCUAUGGGUUGUAAACUGCUUUUAUAAGGGAAUAAAGUUAGUCUCGUGAGACUUUUUGCAUGUACCUUAUGAAUAAGGACCGGCUAAUUCCGUGCCAGCAGCCGCGGUAAUACGGAAGGUCCGGGCGUUAUCCGGAUUUAUUGGGUUUAAAGGGAGCGUAGGCCGGAGAUUAAGCGUGUUGUGAAAUGUAGACGCUCAACGUCUGCACUGCAGCGCGAACUGGUUUCCUUGAGUACGCACAAAGUGGGCGGAAUUCGUGGUGUAGCGGUGAAAUGCUUAGAUAUCACGAAGAACUCCGAUUGCGAAGGCAGCUCACUGGAGCGCAACUGACGCUGAAGCUCGAAAGUGCGGGUAUCGAACAGGAUUAGAUACCCUGGUAGUCCGCACGGUAAACGAUGGAUGCCCGCUGUUGGUCUGAAUAGGUCAGCGGCCAAGCGAAAGCAUUAAGCAUCCCACCUGGGGAGUACGCCGGCAACGGUGAAACUCAAAGGAAUUGACGGGGGCCCG
rnacentral:rRNA from 1 species